UACGUAGGGUGCGAGCGUAAAUCGGAAUUACUGGGCGUAAAGCGUGCGCAGGCGGUUCGCUGUGUCCGAUGUGAAAGCCCCGGGCUUAACCUGGGAAUGGCAUUGGAAACUGGCGGGCUUGAGUGCGGCAGAGGGGGGUGGAAUUCCGCGUGUAGCAGUGAAAUGCGUAGAGAUGCGGAGGAACACCGAUGGCGAAGGCAGCCCCCUGGGUCGACACUGACGCUCAGGCACGAAAGCGUGGGGAGCAAACAGG
rnacentral:rRNA from 1 species